rnacentral:rRNA from 1 species
AACGAACGUUAGCGGCGCGCUUAACACAUGCAAGUCGAACGAGAAAGGGCUUCGGCCCCGGUACAGUGGCGCACGGGUGAGUAACACGUGGGUAACCUUCCCUCGAUCGGGGGAUAACGUUCCGAAAGGAUCGCUAAUACCGCAUAAGACCACGGCUUCGAGAGGACCCGAGGCAAACGUAGGCCUCUGAAUUCACGCCUACACUCGAGGAUGGACCCGCGGCCCAUCAUGGUAGUUGGUAGGGUAACGGCCUACCAAGCCGAAGACGGGUAGCUGGUCUUAGAGGAUGAUCAGCCACACUGGAACUGAGACACGGUCCAGACUCCUACGGGAGGCAGCAGUGGGGAAUCUUGCGCAAUGGGCGAAAGCCUGACGCAGCGACGCCGCGUGGGUGAUGAAGGCCUUCGGGUCGUAAAGCUCUGUGGGGAGAGACGAAUAAAGCAGGAAUAACACUCCUGACGAUGACGGUAUCUCCUUAGCAAGCACCGGCUAACUCUGUGCCAGCAGCCGCCGUAAGAC